rnacentral:rRNA from 1 species
CAGGGAAUAUUGCACAAUGGACGGAAGUCUGAUGCAGCGACGCCGCGUGGACGAAGAAGGCCUUCGGGUUGUAAAGUCCUUUUCAGGGGGAAGAGAGAGGACGGUACCCUUGGAAUAAGCGUCGGCUAACUACGUGCCAGCAGCCGCGGUAAGACGUAGGACGCGAGCGUUAUCCGGAUUUACUGGGCGUAAAGCGUCUGUAGGCGGGACAGGAAGUUGGGCGUGAAAGUUUCGGGCUUAACCCGGAGAGGACGUACAAGACUGCUGAACUAGAGGCCAGCGGAGGGGCGUGGAAUUUCCAGUGUAGCGGUAAAAUGCGCAGAUAUCGGAAGGAACACCAGUGGCGAAGGCGGCGCCCUGGGGUGGGCCUGACGCUAAGAGACGAAAGCUAGGGGAGCGAACA